CGGAGCAUCGUGAUGUCUGUGGGGGCGGGUAAUGAGGCACAAAGGUCUGGUCCAUCAGGACUGGAAGGAGGUGAGAAAAUGGCCCUGACACUCCUUGUCUGAAGACACUGUGAAUAGAGUCUUUGCCCACAGUAUCCGGCCCUCCUGUGCAAGCAGGCUCCCGGCCAGACGCUCUUGAAAGCAGAGAGCCAUUCAUGAAACAGGAAAUCAGUAAAUGCCCACUGGAAGGAUUAAUGAAUGAAUUCAUUAAUGGAUGAAGUGAAUAUCUUAACCCAAUACAGGUUUCCCCCGCUACCUGCAAGGAGACCUUUCCUACCAAACCUUUCCUCAGCCCAAAUGGCAUAAAGCGAAGAAGCAAUUAAUAUAGAAUUUUUUUUUUAAUAGCAUUUCCAGACCCUGAGGAAAACCUCUCUUCGGCUUUUCUGAUACCUUAGGACACAUUUUGCUAACGGAUGCACAAAAUAAAUGGAGAUGAACCACA